rnacentral:rRNA from 1 species
CUGAGUUGGAACUGUCGAGGCCUCGGGCAACCUCGAACAAUUCAAGAACUCGUGUGUCUCGUGCACACGUACAAGCCCAAGCUCGUCUUCCUCUCCGAAACCCGGCAAAAGAUAUAUGUUAGCAAUCUGAAGUGGAGGCUAGGCCUCCGUCACUGUAUCACGCAACCCGGCAUUGGUAAAGGUGCCGGCAUUGCCCUCUUUUAUGAUGAGAAUAUUGAAAUAAAAAAGAAUGCAGCAGGGGCGAGAUACAUCGAUGUGUUAGUUCGUAUGAAUCCUCAUGGCCUCCAAUGGAGGGAGCCCAAGGCGCACGAACUUCACCACAUGCGGACUCUGUUACAAAGGAUAAAAUAUACCUCCAACCUGCCAUGGCUUAUGAUCGGUGAUUUCAAUGAGACUGUGGCAAUCUGA